rnacentral:misc_RNA from 1 species
UUGAAGAAAGAAAUUCAGAAUCUCUUAAGCGUUGUGUUGUGAAAGAAGUCCAAAAUUUUUAUCAUAGCCUUCGGCAUAUGUUAACCAACCAGAAUGAGGUUCUUGCUGUUGGAGUUCGAGAAAUGGAGUCGGAUGCUAUUGAAUUGCCUUUUCAAUUCAUGAAAAAUUGCUCUUAUCACAAGAAAACUUCACUAAAAAAUGUAAUUUCUUGGUGCAAUGGAGAUGA